ACGUCUUCUCUGAAAGGACAGUCGGGCAUUGGAACAGGCUGGCCAGGGCAGUGGUGGAAUCACUGUCCCAGUAAGUUUUCAGAAAACGUGUCGAUGAGGCCCUCAGUGGUAAGGUUUAGUGGUGGUCUUGGCAGUCCCGGGGUGAUGUUGGGCUUGAUGAUCCUAAAGGCCUUUUCCAACCUAGCUGAUUCUGUGAUCUGGAGCAUGACCUGUUAAGGGCAACCCCCUGCGGCCUGCUGCCAGCUUGCACUGGUAUGACCUCGGCAGCGCUGCUAGGGGAUAGAAGGAAAUCAGAGUGUGUGCUUCAGAGAUCACUGUCAUCCUGAGGUGUCUAUACAUAUGCUUAUUUGUGUUUUGGGAAGCUGGCAACUGAGGUGGGAAGAAAGGCCAGAUUAUAUUGGUAAAAGUAUAUUCAAGCUUGGUAUUUAGAACACCUGGGAGCUGAGCAUAUUUUUGGCUUUCAGCAGAGUAUGUCCCUUUUUUCUCCCUCACCUUCAAAAGCAAAAUAAAGUUCUUAGCUUUUUUGUAGCUUCUACAGUUUCCUGAAAACUUCCUUGCCUCCACUCCUAAAAAAAAAAAAAAAUUAAAAAAAAAAACCCAAACCUAAGCAGUUAAUGCAUUUCUGGUCUCUUUCCUUUCUCAGGGUAAUUGUUAAUGAAGUGAUGCCCAUUCCAUAGUCAAACUGCAGUUAAAGCCUUGGCAUUCAAGGACUUUUGAAAGCAGGCAAGUGCUGUUUCCUUGGUGGAGGGAAACAUCUUCCAUGUCUAGUUACAGAGUAUAUCCUAAGAAAGAAAUACUACUUCUUUCAAAUAGACCAGGAAAAGUAAAAGGCUGCAUCUGCUCCUAAAUAAUUUAUUAAAAUAAUCUGUGACUUCAGGUGUGACCCUCUAACUCUUUCUGGUUUGAUUACUUUGGUGUUCCAUGCUUAGCCCAGGUAGAGAAUGACCCUUUCCAUAUGCUGUGAUUUUAAAUUUGUGGGUUUUAGCUUGAGAAAUUAAGUUCUUUACACCCAAAAUUUUCCAAGGCAGCUGGAGGUCAAUGCAGGGUUUUAAUUGUAAUGUUUAUAGCAGGAAUGUAAGUGUCACUGAGAAGUUAAUUUUAUGUUAGUGCAGAGCAUGGCUAAGAGAGACGUGUCUUUUGCUGGUGGCAAGACAUCAGUCCAGCAGUCAUGACCUGUCUUGCUAUUAUGUGUGAUUCAGGUUUUAGAUAAGAAUCCCGUCAUAUGUUUGGAGGAUGCAUAGGGAAUGGAGGAUAUGAUGCAUUAGCUGUACAUACUUACAUGUCAAAACACUGUUUUAUUGAGAUGUGACAUUUCAGUGUUUACAUUUCAUACAUUUAUUCUUUGCUCUCCUUUCAAAGUAUCUCUUCCCUUGGUAGCAGUGUGUGUACAGAAGUAUGUGAGUAUAUUUUAUUAAAUACCAGUACUCAGUGUUUCAGACUUUGAGAAUCAUAUAGAUUUGGUUAGGUUAGGUUUUGGGUUGGGUUUUUUUUUCCCUGUCUUCCUCCUUCUUUUGUCCUGCUGCAAUUCAGAGACCAAGUGUCUCAUCUGGUGUUCAGAAUAUGGUCAACAAAACUCAUAGGCUUUCCUAGACAUGUAAUUUUGAUUGCCAGCCCGAAGCUGGUAUUCUCUCACUGUGAGUCUUGUAAGUAUAAAUUGUUCUCACUUUAAAGAAGAUUGAAUCCUUAAAGAAAACAGGAGAUUUGUCACUGGU